rnacentral:rRNA from 1 species
CCUACGGGAGGCUGCAGUGAGGCAUAUUGGUCAAUGGGCGAGAGCCUGAACCAGCAAAGUCGCGUGAGGGAGUACUGCCCUAUGGGUUGUAAACCUCUUUUGUCGGGGAGCAAAAGCCGGACGUGUCCGGCUGUGAGAGUACCCGAAGCAAAAGCAUCGGCUAACUCCGUGCCAGCAGCCGCGCUAAUACGGAGGAUGCGAGCGUUAUCCGGAUUUAUGGGGUUUAAAGGGUGCGCAGGCGGAUUUUUAAGUCAGCGGUCAAAUCGAGGGGCUAAACCUCAUCCAGCCUUUGAAACUGGGGAUCUAGAGUGUGCGAGAGGUAUGCGGAAUGCGUGGUGUAGCGGUGAAAUGCAUAGAUAUCACGCAGAACCCCGAUUGCGAAGGCAGCAUACCGGUGCACAACUGACGCUCAGGCACGAAAGCGUGGGUAUCGAACAGGAUUAGAUACCCCUGUAGUC